GACGAACGCUGGCGGCGUGCUUAACACAUGCAAGUCGAAGAUAGUGGCGAACGGGUGAGUAAUACGGGGGUAACCUGCCCUCCGUUUUGGGAUAAGCCUUGGAAACGGGGACUAAUACCGAAUAAAGGGGGAUGGGCUAGCGGCCUAUCAGCUUGUUGGUGGGGUGAUGGCGUACCAAGGCGGUGACGGGUAGCCGGCCUGAGAGGGUGACCGGGCACAUUGGGACGGAGAAACGGCCCAGGCGCCUACGGGGGGCAGCAGUGGGGGAUAUGGGACAAUGGGCGAAGGCCUGAUGCAGCGACGCCGCGUGGGGGAUGAAGGCUUUAGGGUUGUAAAAGUCGUUCGCUAGCGAACGGGUAGGUGGAGAAGAAGCGCCGGCUAACUACGUGCCAGCAGCCGCGGUAAUUC
rnacentral:rRNA from 1 species